rnacentral:lncRNA from 1 species
GAAACUACCAUUCACGAAAUACACGACCGCUUUACCAAAAAAAAAAAAAAUGACAUUGGCUCGUGACGUGUCCCUCUCUCAACCACUUAAAUUUCUACAAAAAUGUGAGCCAAAAAUUCAACGUGCUUUGUUUCCUUCCUAUGCGGCGCUGUGCUUCCUAUCACUUGUGUUUCUUUUCUUUCUCCAUCAACCCCUCUCUCAUCCUCUUGCUUUCAUAUCCUUAAUUUUUCCUCUCUUUUUUUAUCCCAUACAUUCUCAUUCAAUUGUGAAUUGUGAUUGGCUUUCUUUCUUCAUUAUUUCUUCUAAUACAGAGUAUUUUCUUUUGUGUUUCCAACUAAGCCUUUUAAUGUCAAGACAACGACAACAUAAAAUUCACAAAAUAUUUUCAUUUCUUUAACUACUAUUCAUAAAGAUCAGCCAUUAGCCAUGGAAACCUCAAACCUUAUGGUAAGGAAGAAAUAAGUUGGACUUAUUAGUGUUAACACAGAAAAAUAAAAUGGAAGGGAAAUGCGGUGGUUUCUGCGUAUUUCACACACUAACAGCAUUAUCUUAAAUGUGUGUAAGAGGAUAGGAACAAAAUAAAAAAACAAACUAACAGAUAGUAAUAAUCUAAAUUUAAAUUAACAUUGACUUAUUCAACAAUUAGCACUAAAUGGAAACCUUGUACUUAUUGAAAGUAAGCAUGGUGAAGAGAUUAGUCAUGUCAGGUAAAAAUAGUGGCAUCAAACAAAUUUUACAAUGUUGAUAGGCUGAUUAUACCAACAUAGUGGGGACUGGGGAGUUACUAUUUUACAAAGAGCUUUAUGCACCGCAUAAAAAAUAAAAUAAAAAGGUUGUGAAAUACGUGAGUCGAAUACACGCAUGGCACGCAUUCUUAGAUUUCGUGAAUGAAGUAUUCGUAUGAUAUAGCACUGCUG